rnacentral:piRNA from 1 species
UAGGCCCAAUGCCACUGAAGAUGGACC